GGACCGCCCUCCCCGUCACGUGCCGGGAGCGCGCUCCGGGUGCACGAUGAUGGUGGCGGCGGCGCCCGGCGGCGGCGGGUAGAAAAUGGCGGAUUUCGAGGAGCUGCGGAAUAUGGUAUCAAGUUUUCGUGUUUCUGAGCUGCAAGUGCUGCUAGGAUUUGCUGGACGUAAUAAAAGUGGGCGCAAACAUGACCUCCUGAUGAGGGCACUGCACUUACUGAAGAGCGGCUGCAGCCCAGCAGUUCAGAUCAAAAUCCGAGAACUCUAUAGGCGCCGGUACCCAAGGACGAUUGAGGGACUGUCGGAUCUAUCGGCUAUAAAACCUGCGGCGUUCAACUUGGACAGCAGUUCCUCUCCAGUCGAGCCUGACUUGGCUGUCGCGGGCAUUCACCCACUCCCUUCCACCUCAGUCACGCCUCAGUCUCCGUCCUCGCCUGUCAGUUCUGUGCUCCUCCAAGACACCAAGCCCCACUUUGAGAUGCAGCAGCCAUCCCCUCCGAUUCCGCCUGUUCAUCCUGAUGUUCAGCUGAAAAGCUUGCCUUUCUACGAUGUGCUCGACGUGCUCAUUAAACCCACGAGUCUAGUACAGAGCAGUAUUCAGAGGUUCCAGGAGAAGUUUUUUAUCUUUGCUUUAACCCCUCAGCAGGUCAGAGAAAUCUGCAUUUCCAGGGACUUUUUGCCUGGAGGAAGAAGAGAUUACACAGUCCAAGUUCAGCUGAGGCUAUGCCUAGCAGAGACAAGCUGCCCUCAAGAGGAUAAUUAUCCUAAUAGUUUGUGCAUUAAAGUAAAUGGGAAGCUGUUCCCAUUACCGGGAUAUGCUCCACCACCAAAAAAUGGAAUUGAACAGAAGAGACCUGGGCGUCCCUUGAAUAUCACUUCUCUAGUUAGGCUGUCAUCAGCAGUGCCAAAUCAGAUUUCCAUCUCUUGGGCUUCUGAAAUUGGAAAGAAUUACUCCAUGUCUGUGUAUCUGGUUCGCCAGCUCACUUCAGCUAUGCUUUUGCAGAGGUUAAAAAUGAAAGGUAUCAGAAACCCCGAUCAUUCCAGAGCACUAAUUAAAGAAAAACUAACUGCAGAUCCUGAUAGUGAGAUUGCCACAACCAGUCUGCGGGUUUCUCUGAUGUGUCCUUUGGGGAAAAUGAGACUGACAAUCCCGUGCCGGGCUGUGACUUGCACACACCUGCAAUGCUUUGAUGCUGCUCUUUAUCUUCAAAUGAAUGAAAAGAAGCCUACCUGGAUCUGCCCUGUCUGUGACAAAAAGGCAGCUUACGAGAGCCUAAUACUAGAUGGCCUCUUUAUGGAAAUCCUUAAUGAAUGUUCUGAUGUGGAUGAGAUCAAAUUCCAGGAAGAUGGUUCCUGGUGUCCCAUGAGGCCAAAGAAGGAAGCUGUGAAAGUGUCAAGUCCACAGUGCACCAAAAUAGAAAGUUCCAGUGUUGUUAGCAAGCCAUGUUCUGUGGCAGUGGCCAGUGAGGUUAACAAGAAGAAGGUUGAUGUUAUCGACUUGACAGUAGAAAGCUCUUCUGAUGAAGAGGAAGAUCCUCCUGCCAAAAGGAAGUGCAUAUUUAUGUCUGAAAUACACGGGAGCCCAACCAAAGGGGUUCUCAUGUAUCAGCCAUCUACUGCCAGAGUGCCCAGCGUGACGACGGUCGAUGCUGCUGCUAUUCCUCCUUCAUUAACAGACUACCCAGUACCAUUCCAUCACCCACCAAUAUCCAGUAUUUCAUCAGACUUGCCAGACACAAAACGGGGAUGAUAUUAGAAAUGUUUCCUUAUUGGCUGCCCGUGGGUGGAGGAAGAGACCUGCUGCUUGUUUUUGGACUUGUGCAUGUUGUGACUUUACUUCAUUCCAGCAUCUUUAAUGUGAUGACACUCUUCAUAUCCCAGUUUGGCCAAGUCAGGUCUGGAUUUUCUUUCGCUAAUCCCAGUUGAUUCACAGUACUGUCCUCCUAUGUUUUUGGAUAGUCUCACCUCAACCUUAACAAGCAGCACACCUGGCAGCAUCAUCACCUCCACCAGCCACCACGAGAGCGGCACGCACGUUAGCUCCUCGGGCCGGGCCGAGGCCGGCGUCAUCACCAGCAGCGGCGGCAGCGCGCCUGACAUCAUCUCCCUGGACUGACCCUCGGGGCAGCACGGGACCCCACAGGCAUUGCACACAGCUGCUGCUGCUCCUCCUUCCCCCCACCCUGGAAUUCCAGCACCUCGGAGCUCGCGCUGAUAUUUAUUGAAAGGAUUUCCCUCCUGGGAGAGUGUGGGUGGGAGGGUGAAUUUCGUUGAUGCUCGGAAGAGAAGCGAUACGAUGAUUUUUGGUUGGGUUUUUUAUUUUGCUUUCUCCUGCUCGUUGAAUAGCUGGUGUAGAAAAGGCCCUUUUGAGAAUACAUGUUCAAGCUCUUGGUUUGUUCUGGGGAUACUGACUUUAUGUUGUGUGGAUUCCAUAAGUGCUUUUUAAUUUUGUGGUAAAACACAGCAAUAAUGUAAAAACAAAUGAGUUUUUUUUUUUAAUAAAGAAAAGCACUUACUUGCUCUAGGACAGCAGUUAGGAAAAAGGUGCAGAAGUGUAGAAAUUAGUGAAUUUGUAAUAUUUUCACUGGGGCCUGUAAUAAACUUCAUUAAGAGAAUGAAGCUUUGAAUAGCCAUGACAUGUGUUUUAUGUCUUGUUCCCCACCUCCACCUUAGCUGGGGAGCUACAGGAAGCCUCUAUAAAUGGAGUUCUUGGGGUUUUUUUUUCCUAGUUUCAUGUCGUUCACAAAUGAAACAAGAGCCUAAGCUGUGACCUCUUCCUCUUUAUGUUCUUUGCGCUAGGAAGGGGACAGACUAUCUAUGCAAACCCUGCAUCACACAGUCUCUGCGCUGCCAUGUUACAAUUGGGACACCUUGCCACCACCAAAACCUCCCAGUGUACAGCUGAAUGUACAGCUGCUCUCUGUGGCAGCUGAAAGCCAAUGAAGUAGGAGAGACUUCCUCCAGUGCAGGAGUGUCUUCUGGAAUUUCCUGAUUAUGGUUUCUGGCUCCUCAGUAGCUGCUGCAUUCUAUGUGGACUGUGAGGGAGGCUUGGCUUUUUAGGAAAUAGAAGCCAUAGCUGCACAGUGUCCCCGCCGAAUUUUGAAUUGUGUGUUUAGGGCUUAAUGAUGCUUUGCCCCACAUUUCCUGGCCUCCUGAUUGUUGCUUUUCUACUUCAAAGGGAACAAUUUCCCCCCGUUUUACUCCUCUGAUGACCGUGCUGCUUUGUUAGUGUGUACGCAGUGUCUGCCCACACACACCUGGGGAUAACCUCAGCAGUACUGUAUGUGGAAGAGGUUACAGACUAGGAAAACCAAGUCAUUUCCAUGGAGCUGGAAUAAUGGUAUUGUCUAUGUAUGCUGAAAUAACAGCUUUUUCAAGUGUUGCAUUUCUGUUAAGUAACUGUAUUUGAGAUUAUUCCUUCCCUAAUGACCAGAUCUUUACUUUUUUGCUAACUUUGUGUUCCUUUCUCCUUACCUCUUUAGUUGGAUGUCUGGUGCUUUUUGCCUUCCAGUACUGUUACAGUAUUUGAACCAAGUACAUGGAUGAGGUAUAUUGAAACAGGAUGUUCUGUAAUUUUUGUCUGCCCUGUACCCCUACCUUUAAUGCUGCAUUACUGCUCCUUAUUGCCUUUUUUGUAUGAUUUUUCACGCAGUCUUGAGUUCACAUGUUGGUCUUAAUAGUGCCCCAAUCUUUCUUUUCUUUUUUUUCUUAUCAGUUUACUAUUUUGUACCUGUUAAGGAUCAGUUGUUAGCAUGAUUUAUUUCCAAUAAAACCAUGCUUGUUACAAAGUUUCUUGACGGCCUGUAGCAGAUCAGUGCUUUCUGCAUCAUCAUUGCACGUCGAGUUGACCUUUAAGUAGAGUGUGGAAAGAGGUUCCAAGAGUAAUUCUGAAUAAAAGACUUAAAACUGGUCUCUGCUGAAAA